rnacentral:rRNA from 1 species
AUUGAACGCUGGCGGCAUGCUUUACACAUGCAAGUCGAACGGCAGCGCGGGCUUCGGCCUGGCGGCGAGUGGCGAACGGGUGAGUAAUACAUCGGAACGUGCCCAGUAGUGGGGGAUAGCUCGGCGAAAGCCGGAUUAAUACCGCAUACGACCUGAGGGUGAAAGCGGGGGAUCUUCGGACCUCGCGCUAUUGGAGCGGCCGAUGGCAGAUUAGCUAGUUGGUGGGGUAAAGGCCUACCAAGGCGACGAUCUGUAGCUGGUCUGAGAGGACGACCAGCCACACUGGAACUGAGACACGGCCCAGACUCCUACGGGAGGCAGCAGUGGGGAAUUUUGGACAAUGGGCGAAAGCCUGACCCAGCAAUGCCGCGUGUGUGAUGAAGGCCUUCGGGUUGUAAAGCACUUUUGGCGGGAACGAAAAGGACUGUGCCAAUACCACGGUUCGAUGACGGUACCCGCAGAAUAAGCACCGGCUAACUACGUG